AUGAAGCAAAAGGGACAUCUCAACCUCAGUUCUCGGGGAAGCAAAGGUAUAUUGGGAGACUAUUCUCAUAUCUAUAUUUAUGAGAAUCGAGGCAUUGCAAGUAUAGGCGAGACAAAAUCUAAAACAGUUAGAAACAUUGAAGAAGGAACCUCGGACUUUGAUUUGAUCAAGGCUACCAGUCAAAUAUCAAAAGAGGAAGCUCAUUUAUUCGAUCACAAGUCUCAUUUGUUUGGAAAAUCCUUAUGGAAACAAAAGCAGAUUCUUUGA